UGCUGGAGGUAUCAGAAGUGCGAAUGCUGACAUAAGUAACGAUAAAGCGGGUGAAAAGCCCGCUCGCCGGAAGACCAAGGGUUCCUGUCCAACGUUAAUCGGGGCAGGGUGAGUCGACCCCUAAGGCGAGGCCGAAAGGCGUAGUCGAUGGGAAACGGGUUAAUAUUCCCGUACUUGGUGUUACUGCGAAGGGGGGACGGAGAAGGCUAUGUUGGCCGGGCGACGGUUGUCCCGGUUUAAGCGUGUAGGUGUGUGUUCCAGGUAAAUCCGGUUCACUUUAACACUGAGGCGUGACGACGAGGCACUACGGUGCUGAAGCAACAAAUGCCCUGCUUCCAGGAAAAGCCUCUAAGCAUCAGGUAACACGAAAUCGUACCCCAAACCGACACAGGUGGUCAGGUAGAGAAUACCAAGGCGCUUGAGAGAACUCGGGUGAAGGAACUAGGCAAAAUGGUGCCGUAACUUCGGGAGAAGGCACGCUGACACGUAGGUGAAGUGAUUUACUCAUGGAGCUGAAGUCAGUCGAAGAUACCAGCUGGCUGCAACUGUUUAUUAAAAACACAGCACUGUGCAAACACGAAAGUGGACGUAUACGGUGUGACGCCUGCCCGGUGCCGGAAGGUUAAUUGAUGGGGUCAGCGCAAGCGAAGCUCCUGAUCGAAGCCCCGGUAAACGGCGGCCGUAACUAUAACGGUCCUAAGGUAGCGAAAUUCCUUGUCGGGUAAGUUCCGACCUGCACGAAUGGCGUAAUGAUGGCCAGGCUGUCUCCACCCGAGACUCAGUGAAAUUGAACUCGCUGUGAAGAUGCAGUGUACCCGCGGCAAGACGGAAAGACCCCGUGAACCUUUACUAUAGCUUGACACUGAACAUUGAGCCUUGAUGUGUAGGAUAGGUGGGAGGCUUUGAAGUGUGGACGCCAGUCUGCAUGGAGCCGACCUUGAAAUACCACCCUUUAAUGUUUGAUGUUCUAACGUGGACCCGUAAUCCGGGUUGCGGACAGUGUCUGGUGGGUAGUUUGGCUGGGGCGGUCUCCUCCUAAAGAGUAACGGAGGAGCACGAAGGUUGGCUAAUCCUGGUCGGACAUCAGGAGGUUAGUGCAAUGGCAUAAGCCAGCUUGACUGCGAGCGUGACGGCGCGAGCAGGUGCGAAAGCAGGUCAUAGUGAUCCGGUGGUUCUGAAUGGAAGGGCCAUCGCUCAACGGAUAAAAGGUACUCCGGGGAUAACAGGCUGAUACCGCCCAAGAGUUCAUAUCGACGGCGGUGUUUGGCACCUCGAUGUCGGCUCAUCACAUCCUGGGGCUGAAGUAGGUCCCAAGGGUAUGGCUGUUCGCCAUUUAAAGUGGUACGCGAGCUGGGUUUAGAACGUCGUGAGACAGUUCGGUCCCUAUCUGCCGUGGGCGCUGGAGAACUGAGGGGGGCUGCUCCUAGUACGAGAGGACCGGAGUGGACGCAUCACUGGUGUUCGGGUUGUCAUGCCAAUGGCACUGCCCGGUAGCUAAAUGCGGAAGAGAUAAGUGCUGAAAGCAUCUAAGCACGAAACUUGCCCCGAGAUGAGUUCU
rnacentral:rRNA from 1 species